GCUCCGAUGGUGUAUUGGCGUUGAGCACCUAGCACGGUAAGCAAGGGGUGCGGGUUCGAGUCCUGCUUGGUGCU
rnacentral:tRNA from 1 species